rnacentral:rRNA from 1 species
CGAGCGAGUCUGCCUUGAAGAUCGGAGUGCUUGCACUCUGUGAAACAAGAUACAGGCUAGCGGCGGACGGGUGAGUAACACGUGGGUAACCUGCCCAAGAGAUCGGGAUAACACCUGGAAACAGAUGCUAAUACCGGAUAACAACAGAUGAUGCCUAUCAACUGUUUAAAAGAUGGUUCUGCUAUCACUCUUGGAUGGACCUGCGGUGCAUUAGCUAGUUGGUAGGGUAACGGCCUACCAAGGCGAUGAUGCAUAGCCGAGUUGAGAGACUGAUCGGCCACAUUGGGACUGAGACACGGCCCAAACUCCUACGGGAGGCAGCAGUAGGGAAUCUUCCACAAUGGACGCAAGUCUGAUGGAGCAACGCCGCGUGAGUGAAGAAGGGUUUCGGCUCGUAAAGCUCUGUUGUUGGUGAAGAAGGACAGGGGUAGUAACUGACCUUUGUUUGACGGUAAUCAAUUAGAAAGUCACGGCUAACUACGUGCCAGCAGCCGCGGUAAUACGUAGGUGGCAAGCGUUGUCCGGAUUUAUUGGGCGUAAAGCGAGUGCAGGCGGCUCGAUAAGUCUGAUGUGAAAGCCUUCGGCUCAACCGGAGAAUUGCAUCAGAAACUGUCGAGCUUGAGUACAGAAGAGGAGAGUGGAACUCCAUGUGUAGCGGUGAAAUGCGUAGAUAUAUGGAAGAACACCGGUGGCGAAGGCGGCUCUCUGGUCUGUUACUGACGCUGAGGCUCGAAAGCAUGGGUAGCGAACAGGAUUAGAUACCCUGGUAGUCCAUGCCGUAAACGAUGAGUGCUAAGUGUUGGGAGGUUUCCGCCUCUCAGUGCUGCAGCUAACGCAUUA